rnacentral:rRNA from 1 species
AACGAACGCUGGCGGCAUGCCUAACACAUGCAAGUCGAACGAGAUCUUCGGUCUAGUGGCGCACGGGUGCGUAACGCGUGGGAAUCUGCCCUUUGGUUCGGAAUAACAGUUGGAAACGACUGCUAAUACCGGAUGAUGACGAAAGUCCAAAGAUUUAUCGCCAGAGGAUGAGCCCGCGUAGGAUUAGCUAGUUGGUGUGGUAAAGGCGCACCAAGGCGACGAUCCUUAGCUGGUCUGAGAGGAUGAUCAGCCACACUGGGACUGAGACACGGCCCAGACUCCUACGGGAGGGAGAAGUGGGGAAGUUUAGACAAUGGGCGAAAGCCUGAUCCAGCAAUGCCGCGUGAGUGAUGAAGGCCUUAGGGUUGUAAAGCUCUUUUACCCGGGAUGAUAAUGACAGUACCGGGAGAAUAAGCUCCGGCUAACUCCGUGCCAGCCGCCGCCGUAAGAC